rnacentral:rRNA from 1 species
AACAAAUAUUAAAGGCAACGCCUGCCCAGUGAACAAUUAAACGGCCGCGGUACCCUAACCGUGCAAAGGUAGCAUAAUCAUUUGUCUAUUAACUGUAGACCUGUAUGAAAGGCAAAAUGAGGGUUCAACUGUCUCUUAUAAUAAAUCUAUUAAACUGAUCUACUAGUAAAAAAGCUAGAAUAUCCACAUAAGACCAGAAGACCCUGUGAAGCUUAAACUAAAAUAUUAAACCCAAUAAUAACUACUUUCGGUUGGGGCGACCUUGGAAAUAAAAAGAACUUCCAAAACACAUGCACACCGCACAAAUACCUAAGGCCCACAAGCCAAUAAAUGACCCAGUAAAGCUGAUAAAUGAACAAAGUUACUCCAGGGAUAACAGCGCCAUCUUCUUCAAGAGCCCAUAUCAAAAAGAAGGUUUACGACCUCGAUGUUGGAUCAGGACAUCCCAAUGGUGCAGCCGCUAUUAAGGGUUCGUUUGUUCAACGAUUAAUGUCCU